GUCUACAGCCAUACCACCCUGAACAUGCCCGAUCUCCUCUGAUCUCAGAAGCUAAGCAGGGUCAGGCCUGGUUAGUACUUGGAUGGGAGAUAGAGACUACAGAGACUCUGUAAUUA
rnacentral:rRNA from 1 species